CCCGUGCACUUAAAAUCUAUGUGGAUGGAAGGCUCGAAGGUUACCCGAGACAACCUGGUUAAGGAAAGACAUGGGGUGGCAAUGAGAGACAUCUGUGCGGCUCAGAAAGAUUGCUGAGGUCAGAGGGACAAGAGCCAAGGAGGACAAGAGGAGCCCUUCCCAGGACACUCACAAUGACAGAGUGACGAGGGCCAGUAAAGAGUGUCAGGGGGUGAGAGCCCGGGUGUGAACUGAACCUACUGAGGAGAGCUGACGACCACAAAGCAUCUUUUCAUAUCAUGUUCGGAGCAAGGAGAACAAGGGCUUCAUAGAUCCAUCGCCAUCUAGGGCAGCUGGUGUCUGUGAAGGGGAGGAAGGCACAGCUCCUCUGUGCCCACAGCGGUCUGGACAGAGGAGGAUCUGCAGGUGCAAAGGGCGCAGGCAGGUCCCCGGAGGAAAGCAGGAGCCAGGUAGCGCUGGGCUGCAGUGUGUGUGCUCAGAACUCUGACCCAGAGAAUGCCCUGGCCAGGGUAUAGCAUGACCUGGAAUGAGAUUCCCCCAUCUGAGGUGCUGUCUGAGAGGUGUUGGAGAUGAAGCCUGGAGGUGGAAGAGACUCAAAUCUGUUGUUGGCCCUGGGAAAGAUCCUAGACUAAGAAGGCUGUGAGUCUGUGGGCAAAGGAGAGACGUGCAUGAGGAGCUGGCGGGGGCUCCCUGGGGACAAGUCAUGCCAGACUCACGUCAUUUUCCACCUUGCAGGUCUUUGGUCUGGCCCUUGUUCCGUCGGGGUUCUGGAGGACGUCCUGUGCCCUGGCCUCACUGACCUUACUCCAUGCAGUGCUGAUGCAUGCCACAGCGGUGACCCUCCGUGGUCCCAGGGCCCUGUGGCCGAGUGUGUCCAGCCCAGUGUCACAGGGAGCUUCCAUGUCUCAUGGCUCCUUGCUGGGCCAAGCCCUCCAGAACCCCAAACCCCCAAAGACUGAUGGCUGCCAGAGUGGCUACCUUGCUUAUCCUGUGGCCCCACCCCUGGUGAUCACCAUGGCAGCUGGGAAGGGAGCCCCGUUGAGCCCAUCAGCUGAAAACAGAUGGCAACUUAGCGAACCUGAGCUGGGCCGAGGCUGCAAGCCAGUGCUGCUCGAGAAGACGAAUCGCCUGGGCCCUGAGGCUGCUGUGGGCAGGGCGGGCCGGGAUGUGGGCAGUGCGGAGCUGGCACUGUUGGCAGCCCCAGGCAAGCCCCGACCUGGCAAGCCGCUGCCCCCGAAGGCACUUGGAGAGCAGAGGCAGAGCGCCUUCACGGAGCUGCCGAGGAUGAAGGACUGGCAGGUGGAUGCUCAGGCCCAGGAGAGGGAGCACGAUGAUCCCACAGGCCAGCCUGGUGCCCCACAGCUGACCCAGGACAUCCCCAGAGACCCAGCUGGCAGCAAAGUCUUCUCUGUGUGGCCCAGCAGAGCACGAGGUGAGCAGAGAAGCGCCUUUAGCAAACCAACCAAGCGACCAGCAGAGAGGCCUGAGCCAACCUCAGUCUUCCCUGCAGGGGAAUCUGCAGACGCCCUGGGGGAGCUGUCUGGACUCCUCAACACCGCAGACCUCGCUUGUUGGGGUCGACUUUCAACUCCCAAGCUUUUGGUUGGUGAUUUCUGGAACUUGCAAGCAUUGCCACAGAAUGCUCCACUCUGUAGCACUUUCCUGGGUGCCCCUACACUGUGGCUGGAGCACACCCGGGCCCAGGUGCCCCCACCCUCAUCAUCCUCCACCACUUCGUGGGCCCUCCUGCCACCCACCCUCACCUCCCUGGGCUUGUCCACCCAGAACUGGUGUGCAAAGUGCAACCUGUCCUUUCGCCUAACAUCCGACCUGGUCUUUCAUAUGCGAUCCCACCACAAAAAGGAGCAUACGGGGCCUGACCCACAUUCUCAGAAGCGGAGAGAAGAGGCCCUCACCUGCCCUGUGUGCCAGGAGCACUUCCGGGAGCGCCACCACCUCUCCCGGCACAUGACUUCUCACAGCUAGCAGGUGGCCGCAGAAUGACCUGCCGGGUGCGGCAGCCAGCCUUUGGCAGAGGGGGGCUCCCUGGGCCUGCCUUGAGGGGGCUGUCAUGGUCCUUUGCAGAGCUGCUGCUUUUGGCAUUCAUGGAUAAACAGCUCAGGCAUAAUUUGAAAAAGCCAUACCUGCAUGAUGUGUUUUGAAGGAAAUGAAGUCCUGAAAUAAAGUGAUGGGCUUUGCAAAUCCAGGGUAGAGGCCCUAACAGGCACAGAGAGCAGGGAAAACUCCUGGCACACAUCAUGGGCUUUGGAGGCACACGAGCCUGGAUUCGAAUCUGGGCUCUUUCACAUACUAGCUGUGACCCUGGACAAAGAGCUUUAACCUGCUGAGUCCCCAUUUUCUCAUCUGUGAAAUGGAGAUGAUAACACUGUGUCUUAGGUUGGCGUUCAGGUCACAUGAAAGGUGUGUGGAAAGUGGCCAGCAUUCUGCCUGCAGACCCUGAGCACUGAGUCAACAAGGUUUGUGAUGACGUCUGUACUAGUUAGCUAUUGUUAUUAACAAGAUCUCCAUGGCAGAUAAGUGAAAGCAUCUGUCCAAGUCAUGAGUCUGUGGGUUGGCUCAGGUUAAGCUGAGCUUGGCGGCUUGGCAGCAAGUCUCAGAUUUGAUCAAGUCAUAUUCAUUUUCUUCCUCGGCUGGUGAACUACCCAGAGCGAGCAUGCUUCUCUCGCGGUUAUGCCAAGAAUACAAGAGGAGCCUGGCAGAGGCAUGGCUUGUUGCUGACUGAGAGCAUCUGGAAAUGAGCCCCCAGCACUCAGAGUCACCACCCCCACCACGCCUCCCAGCUCUGUGCUGUCAGUUCCUCGUCAGACUGCAAAGAUGCCCAUGAGUGGACUGUGCCCAUGCCCUGCCACUGCUGCUAACAUCCGGUCCCCCAAGUCUUCUCUGGCGCCAGGGACCAGGUCUGAGACAGCUCUGUUUCCACCACUUGCCCUGUGGCUGGCCUGGCAUCCUCGGGAUCUGCCCUGGAGGGGAAAGAAAGGCAGGGAGAGAUGGGCCCAGUAUACCCUGAGUUCCUUUCUCUACGUAGUGACUCUGGCUUGGCUGCCCAGAGUGUGGCCUGGGCUUUGAUGGUGAACAAUAGGGAAGCUCCUAGGCCUGUCUUGCCCCAGAGAGCCAGCUUUGAGUCCCUGCCAGGGUCUUUAUAAUCCACUUAUUAUACAUGCUGUCACAACAGGGCUGAGCUGACUCCUGGGGGCACUCCAGCACCCCUAGAUGCCAGUCAAAUGAACCCCUGCUUGUUCCUGGGUGACUUACCUCUCCACCACAUCUGCAAGAGGGACAGAUAAAUAUGACCUUCCGGAAGUGUCUGCAUCACCUAACAAUGCCCUUCCAGUGAAGAUGAACCCCUAGCUGCAGGUCAGGCCACAGAGAUGGGGCAGGAGGCUGUCAGGGAUUUAGGCACAAAGCUGGAACCCCAAGACAAGUGAAAGAAGAUGGCAGGCUGGGUGCAGAGCAGAGUGACAUUAACUCAGGUAUUAACUUAUCUUGGGUCCUGAUCAUUGGUGGACACUGGGUGAGAGGUGGGGGGACAGAGAGGAGGGAGUCUGAGUGUCUGGAAGGAGGUGUGGCUGUGUGCAAGAUGUGAGCUGGAGGUAAGUAGGGUUGGGCAGGGUGCAGGCCAUGAGCUUAGACCAGGGCAUAGAGAGUUGAAGGGGCCCAGGGCUCAUCUGAACUUCUAGGCAGCUGUUGGCCAUCUGGGUGUCCCACCAGAAAAGAGACCUGAUGGGAUUUUGUUUUCCAUUUCCUUUUUCUCCAGUCUUGUGCCUGCAAGCAGGUAACAAUGCAAGAAAGCUUGCAUUUAGGAAGGCUGAGCCUGUACUUUGCUACGCAGAGGACUUUCGCUCCUCUCUAUCUCAAACCCCCUUUCCAGAUCAGGCCUAGGGUCUCUUCAUGAUGUGGUGGAAACAGAAGGAUCUUUGGAACUGUACAGCUAUGGGUUCAGAUCUCACCUACCCUUUAACCAGCUGCACCAGACUGUGCUGUUCAAUAUAGAAAAAUGAAGUCUUUGGUGGAUGGAAGCAGACAGCGAUUUCAUGAAGGAGCCCGGAUGGUGCCCAGUCCUAGAUGGGCAGGCUGGGGGACCUGGCUGAGCAGUGGGUUGGGACAAUGGGUCACUCUGCCAGGACCACAGCCAAAGUCACACCAGGAAGUCUGGGAAGCACCUCUUGAGGGUGCUGCUGCUGUCCCUGCUAAGCACAAGGCAUGGCUGUGUUGUCCCUGUACACUAGGCUUCUGGCAGGUGGCCACUGCCCAGGCUCCCUGGCCACUUGCUCCAGAUUAAACAUCUUGCACAGGAGCUUCUGGUUGACCAAGGCAGGACCACAUGCCCAUGCCCUACUGCCAGAAGGGCUGGAAAAGUGGGGCUUCCGGGGUGUUCUGCUUUGUAGUGGAGAAAUUACGACAGCUAACAUUGGCUGGGCACUAGAUUAACUCACUUCAUUCUCACAGCUCCAAGUGUAUAGUAUUAUUUCUCCCAUUGAACAGAUGAAGAAACUGAGGCCCAGAGAGGUGAAACAAAUUGCCCAGAACCACUCAGCUGGGGAAGUGGCUGGGCUGGUUUCCCACCCAGGCGGGGCUGACAUCACUGUUUCCGGCUGAUUCCUAUGGGCAGUGAUCCUCUGAUCAUCCAAAGGUGCUGCAAAUGCUGGGUGGCCCAAAGGACACAGGUCCACCGUGCUGGAUGUGUGACCUCGGGUGAGCUGUGGAGUUUGUCUGUGUCUCAGCUGGCUCCUGGGUAGAAGAUGAGAGUGGCCAGCUAUGCAGCUGGCAUGUGGCUCAGAAGAGAUACAGCCAGCAUAUGUACAUCACCAGCAGAAGGGCCGCACCAGCCCUUUCCCUAUUUAAGAUCCACGGGAUCUUUGCCACCUGCUGACCCCACAGCAUCUUGCGCCACAUCUUAAACAAAAUCAGCUGUUCAUAGAGGCCAGCAGGGCAGAUCCAGAAGAGCUAAAUAAUGUGAAUGGAGAACUCAUGAAAAAAGAGAUUUAACAACCACUAGUGAUCACUAAAUUGCGAUUAAUGGCUCGGUUAUAUAAUUUAUUUUAUCUUCUUUAUUUUGUAGUUUGGAAUAAUGAUGGCUGCAUCUGAAAAUAAUGAUAUAUGCACAUUAAUGAGUAUUUAAGAAAAAGAGCAAAGUAUGAAGAAGAAAGGUAAAAAUACCACCCCAAGUUCUACCACCUAGAAGGAAUCUUUGUUAAAAUUUAGCUUGCUAUUGGAAAGCCAUAUAUAUAUACAUAUAUAUACAUACACAUAUAUAUGUGUAUAUACGUGUGUGUGUGCGUGUGUGUGUGUGUGUGUGUGUGUGUACACACACCUCUAGCUGUAACCUAACCAGAGCUCAGCAGGCCCCUUUGCUGCCCCUGGGAACCUCAGGCCGGGCCAUCUGCAGGAGUGCCCUUGGUGUGUGUCCCAGAGUUUCUGUCUGCCCUGGGGCUCUGCC